rnacentral:rRNA from 1 species
GAUGAACGCUGACAGAAUGCUUAACACAUGCAAGUCUUUGGCGAAGCUGUGCUUGCACAGCCUAGCCAAGGCGGACGGGUGAGUAACGCGUAAGGAACUUGCCCUGCAGUCAGGGAUAACAGACGGAAACGACUGAUAAGACCUGGUAAAGUCAGGCGGACUCAUGUCCAGCCUGAUGAAAAGAGAUGCUGCAGGAGAGCCUUGCGUCCUAUUAGCUUGUUGGUGGGGUAACGGCCCACCAAGGCGAUGAUAGGUAGCCGGCCUGAGAGGGUGGACGGCCACAAGGGGACUGAGAUACGGCCCUUACUCCUACGGGAGGCAGCAGUGGGGAAUAUUGGACAAUGGGGGCAACCCUGAUCCAGCAAUUCUGUGUGCACGAUGAAGGUUUUCGGAUUGUAAAGUGCUUUCAGCAGGGAAGAAAAAAAUGACGGACCUGCAGAAGAAGCGACG